UUGGCGCCGGCGUCAACGUGGCGCUGGAGGAGGAGAACUCGGAGUAUGCGAGGAUGAGGGCGGACUGGACGGAAGCAAUGAGGUCGUUACCGAGGAGGUGUUUGCGGUCCGUGAGAAUAAGGGCGAAGACGCGCCCAUCUCCAAGAAGUGAAAAAGGAUACAUAGGAUAGAAAAAAAAAUAAAAAAUAAAAAAAAAUAAAGAAAAAUUUUUUUCUUGAAAGACUAUUAUAUAUCAUCACUGUUACAGAAAAUAUAAUGAAUCAGAGAAGAAGAAAGAAGAAGAUGAUGGUUGUAUUAUUAAAAUAAAGUUGCACUGUUUCACAAAAAAAAAUUGCAUUGUUUAAAAUGAACAUUCCACUCUUUGAGAUGAAAAUUACAUUCUUUGAAACGAAAGUUGUACUUGACAAAAGUUAUACUGUUUCAGAGAAAAUUCCACUGUCUAGCACAGCAAUCACUCU
rnacentral:lncRNA from 1 species